rnacentral:rRNA from 1 species
CUACGUAGGUGACAAGCGUUAUCCGGAUUUACUGGGCGUAAAGGGCGUGUAGGCGGUCUUGCAAGUCAGAAGUGAAAUUCCUGAGCUCAACUCGGGCGCUGCUUCUGAAACUGCAGGACUUGAGUGCUGGAGGGGAUAGCGGAAUUCCCGGUGUAGCGGUGAAAUGCGUAGAGAUCGGGAGGAACACCAGUGGCGAAGGCGGGUAACUGGACUGCAACUGACGCUGAGGCGCGAAAGUGUGGGGAGCAAACAGGAUUAGAUACCCUGGUAGUCCACACUGUAAACGAUGAAUGCUAGGUGUAAGAGGUAUCGACCCCUUUUGUGCCGGAGUCAACACAAUAAGCAUUCCGCCUGGGGAGUACGGCCGCAAGGUUGAAACUCAAAGGAAUUGACGGGG